rnacentral:rRNA from 1 species
GUGAGGAAUAUUGCGCAAUGGAGGCAACUCUGACGCAGCCAUGCCGCGUGCAGGAAGAAGGCGCUACGCGUUGUAAACUGCUUUUAACCGGGAAGAAACCCCAGGACGUGUCCUGGGUUGACGGUACCGGAGGAAUAAGCACCGGCUAACUUCGUGCCAGCAGCCGCGGUAAUACGAAGGGUGCAAGCGUUAUCCGGAUUCAUUGGGUUUAAAGGGUGCGUAGGCGGAGCGUUAAGUCAGUGGUGAAAUCCUGCAGCUUAACUGUAGACUUGCCAUUGAUACUGGCGCUCUUGAGUGCGCUUGAAGUGGGCGGAAUGUGCCGUGUAGCGGUGAAAUGCUUAGAUAUGGCACAGAACACCAAUUGCGAAGGCAGCUCACUAAGGCGAUACUGACGCUGAGGCACGAAAGCGUGGGGAUCGAACAGGAUUAGAUACCCGGGUAGUC